rnacentral:misc_RNA from 1 species
UAACAUGCUUGAUGCUCAGAUUGAUGCAGCCUAUGCUGCAUUAGAAGAUGCUGGAUUUAAAAAGAUGGAAGUCAUAAUUACUGAGACAGGCUGGGCUUCACAUGGAGAUGAUAAUGAAGCUGCAGCAACAGCUGAUAAUGCAAGAAUGUAUAAUUAUAACCUGCGUAAAAGGCUUGCAAAAAAGAAAGGUACUCCUCUCAGGCCAAAAAUUGUCGUAAAGGCAUAUAUUUUUGCGAUAUUUAAUGAGGAUUUGAAACCUGGGCCAACUUCUGAGAGGAAUUAUGGACUGUUCAAGCCUGAUGGAAGCAUUUCAUAUGAUAUUGGGUUUGAUGGACUUAAAUCUUCAUCUGCAGAUUCAUCGCUUUUGUCUAUGAAGGCUGUGCGAGAUCAAGGUUUGUCCAGUUCUUAUUUUUUGAUACUGACAAUCUCUGCUGUGGCAACACUUCUAUUUUUAACACAAUGACGUUGCACGGUCAUCAUUAUAUGUUAAGUGAAACCUGCAUUCAGAAUGGGAAGAAAGAAGUUCCUGGUUCGAUACCAUUCAUGCCACUCCUUAGAAGUUGAUGUAUACAACAUUUAUGAUUGUAUUUGCAUAAAAUAUCUCCCAGAAAUAGCUGAUUAUUAUCUAUAUCAGCAAGUGUAAAUUUGGUUUUU